rnacentral:rRNA from 1 species
GCACAAUGGGGGAAACCCUGAUGCAGCCAUGCCGCGUGUGUGAAGAAGGCCUUCGGGUUGUAAAGCACUUUCAGUAGGGAGGAAGGUAGUGUAGUUAACACCUGCACUAUUUGACGUUACCUACAGAAGAAGCACCGGCUAACUCCGUGCCAGCAGCCGCGGUAAUACGGAGGGUGCGAGCGUUAAUCGGAAUUACUGGGCGUAAAGCGCAUGCAGGCGGCCUGUUAAGUCAGAUGUGAAAGCCCGGGGCUUAACCUCGGAAUUGCAUUUGAAACUGGCAGGCUAGAGUCUUGUAGAGGGGGUAGAAUUUCAGGUGUAGCGGUGAAAUGCGUAGAGAUCUGAAGGAAUACCAGUGGCGAAGGCGGCCCCCUGGACAAAGACUGACGCUCAGAUGCGAAAGCGUGGGGAGCAAACAGGAUUAGAUACCCUGGUAG